CUUUCUCGCACCAGAAGUUAAGCAGCUGGAAGGCAGGGGUUGUGUCUUAUUCAGCUUUGUAUCCACAGCACCGAGCAGUUUCUGGCACAGCAGGCAUUCAAGAAACCUCUGUGGAACAAAUGGAUAACGAAUGACGCUUCUUCAGCUGUAUGGAGGAGAAACAGCUGGAUUUCAUUGCCUGUGGAAGAGUGACCAAGCUCCUUGGCCACCCUGCUGCACAAGGACUGUACUCCAGGAUUUGUGUGGAGUGGCUGUGAAAGAACAGUUGCAAACUCUUGUGCAUGAUAAACCAGUUAACUAGCUCCAGCUUUCCAUGUCAAGCUUCCAGUUAGGCUCUUGGGCUGCACCCUUGAACAUGACUGUUUUGUAAGGAUCAACACACAUAUGAGGAUAACUUCUAGCAGAAAAGACAGAAGCCAAAGAAACAAAGAGAGUAGAGGCAAUGAGAGAGAAGAAAAAAGAAAGAAAAAGCAAAAACACCAAAAAAUAAACAAAUAACUCAUUAAUAUAGACAGAGAAGUAAGAGCAUAUUUCAGAAAACAAUGAACUGGAAAUUAUCAUUCAGAGCACAAAAAGGAGCUCUUAGAAAUUAAAAUUAUGACGGAAGACAUGAAAAAUGCAUAAGAAGGAUUCAAAUACAAAAUUAAGUAAAUAUCCCAGAAAGUUGAAAGGGAAGACAAAGGAACGGGAAAUAGGGAGGAAAAAACGUGAGGAUUAGCGCAGGAGACCCAACAUUUGAAUAUAAGAAAGAGCUGGAUAAAAUAAAGAGGAUGUUAUCAAAGAAAUAAUUCAAGGAAAAAUUUCCAGAAGGAAAGAGUACAUGGAUUUCCAGGUAGAAAGAGCCUAACAACUAUGUUCUUUCAUCUUUUUUUAAUAGAUGUAAAAAAAUUUUCAUACUAAGGUAUGCAAAUAUAAAAUUUCAGAAUACUGGAUCAGCAAGAAAAUUCCAAGUUUCUAAAAAGGAAAACAAAACAAAAUCAGAUACAUACAAAAGACUGGAAAUCAGAGUGAAAUUAAACUGUUAAACAGUAACACUAGAAUUGAGUACACAAUGAUUAAUGAGUUUAUUUAUUAUAAAGAGAAAAUUAUUUUCAACUCAGAAUUUUAUAUCCAGCUAAACUAUCAAUUGGAUAGUGGUAGGGGUGGGGCAGGGGCAGAAGAAUAAAGACUUUUUUAUAUAUUCAAGAUGUUAUGCAAACAAUGGCAAAUAUCUAUAUGACACACACACCAGGGAGUGUGUGCAACAGUGUUCGCUAGGGAAAUUCAUAGUAACAAGAUCAGUAGUAGGCAAGAAGUUCUCCUAUUGCCUAUCACACCCUGGGGAAGAGUACAGUCUAACAGAGCUAGAUGUCAGACUCUGAAGGAGGUACUCAGACACUUGGGCUUUGGAGCUUUUACACUAUUCAUGAUUAGUAAAGCCCUUCUCCUGGAAUGAUUGGAAAACUAGGGCUCAAAAUUUGUUGAUGAUCAGAAGUGAUUGCCUGGAGCAUCAGAUAUAUCUCAUUUAAACUGAGCUUUAAAGGAAGUCAACUUUUUUGCCGGGAGGUCAGUCUAUAGAAUAUAAGUCUUGGACAAGUUCUCCUUUUCCUCUCUGAAAAAGAGGAAAUUUUGUGUGAAGAGAUUUCUUCACACAAAUCUCUUCUGAGGAAACUACUGGUUGAUGUCACCCACCUUACUGAGGGAGCAAACCAAGAAAGAUGAAGACAUACAAUCCAAGACAAAGGGGAUACAUGCAGGGGAGGCAAAGAUAAUUACCAGGAUGACAAUGAAGGGAUAUUCCUAGGACAGCGAGCAGCAGGGGCAACCUAGACUGGUGGAUGGGUGCAAUAGGAGAGAGGGCUCCAGGUAUAAGGUUCUCAAGAAGAUGAAAUUGAUACACCACCCAUUUUUAAAACAGCUUUAUUGAGAUCUAAUGGGCACAGAAUAAACUAAACAUAUUUGAAAUA